rnacentral:lncRNA from 1 species
ACCUCAAAACCCCAGAGUCAUGUUCCUGUCGUCCUGGUAACUCUCUUGCUGACCUUUGACCCCUGUUUAGAUGUAGCAGUGAAGGACUGCAGAAGAGGAAGCCAGCCCGUGGAGAGCGACUUCUACAGCAAGCCGCUGAAAGGACAACAAUCCAAUUUGUUCUGGAAGGCUGACAAACGGUGAAGGCUCACUGACGUUUUGCCACCUUCUCUGAGGAGACCUAAAGCAGAACCACGUUGCUCGACACACUUCGAGGGAAGAUGCUCUGACAUUUUCGUCACAAUUCUGGUUUUACUAUUAAAUCUUUGCCAAAGAAUCCUAAUUUAAGCAUGCAUAAUUUAACACAUAAUUUAAAAUAGCAAUGUAAUCUUGCGAAGUAAUUUAUUUUUGCCUGAAAUGUUAACCUUCAGAGAGGAAAGACGUAUCCAUACUGUUUGCAAUAUGUAGUGACCCAGUCUAUGCAUCGUCAUGUGAAAUCAUUCUUUGAUGUAAAUAAUCAUAACUGUUUUUAUUUUAAACUCAAGAAAAUGUGAAAUUAUAAAUAGAGACAGCAUAUAUGUGUUAUUAGGAAUGAACUGUUCUUUAGAAAUUAAUGAAAAUCAUUUUUUGAGAAUCAUUUUCCCCCUAUUUUAGCAGCUGAUAAAAAGCUUAAAUGCCUUGAGUAAUCUGAGUUUUCCUAAUCUAUCUUGCAGCUGUCUUGUUGACAACAAAUCCCCUCACAAAAGAAUAAACAUUGCACCUAAAUCUUCCUUUUAAUCCCC